rnacentral:lncRNA from 10 species
GGUUUCACCACGUUAGCCAGGCUGGUCUCGAACUUCUGACCUCAAAUGAUCUGCCCACCUCAGCCUCCUGAAGUGCUGGAAUUACAGGUGUGAGCCACUGCACCCGGCCUGGGCUUUGUAUUCUAAUCUGGAAACUGGACAUCAUAAUUUCAGAGGGUUUUGUAGGGGUUAUAUAAAAGAGCAGGCUAUCCAUGUUACCAUGUUUUCUUCUAUCAAAGUGCUUAUUGUCCAGUUGAUGGACUGGUAUCUAUGCCAUCAAGGUCAUGGGCAAUGGGGGGUGCCUCAUGGGCAUGAAUGUGGAUGAGUCAGCCCGCACGCCCAUGCUCUGUGCACUCCUUCACCCCCAGCAGCUGCCACUGGACAGCCCUCAGGCUUAGGAUGGGUACAUCAGUGGUGCAGUCCUCCCUCAGCACAGCCCUACACCCAGACCUUGGCCCACUUGAAUGAAUAGCCUUGUAGUCCCCGGUACCUAGGGUUUGGUCUGAGGGGAAGUACAGGCUCUGGUAAGUCCCUUGGCAUUGCUCCAUGUGUAGGGGUAGCACCAGGCGAGGACCAGAGCAGGAUCCUCUAAAGCACAGGCGGGCAGGGGCCUCUGUUGCCUGGAGCUAAGAGUGGUACUGGCUGGGAAGACAUAAUGCAAUAGCAUCUAAAUUGCCCCUGUUUGUCAAGGGCUGAACUAGACCUCCAAGUUCCAAGACUCUCGAAAUGGAUCCCAAUAGGGACACUGAAUGCUCGGCUGAAACACUGCAUUGGAUUCAUGCAGUAGCCAGAGCUUGGCAGGGGACUGUCUGUGCCCUUCCCGUGGGAGCCUGCUGAGGCUCCUGUUGUCACUCUCCUUCUCAAGACUACCCGGGGCAAGAACCCAAAGGGCACUUUAUAGAACAGCAGAUACAAAAUGCAUUUUGGACUAUCCCUCAGUUAUUCUGUUACCCUGGAUUUCUGCUAAGGGAAGAAAGUUACCCUCAAGGAAUUAAACACACUUCAAGAGGAGGUGAGAGUUCUACCCUGAGGUAGGGUGUGAAGCCCUUAAGGCUUUUCCUCCUCCAUGAUUUAUGAGCUUAGUGUAGGCAUUCAGAAGAGUGGAAGGUGCAAGGUGCUCAGAUUUAUAAAGAUUAAUACCUACAGGCCGGGCAUGGGCGCGG